UCCCACAGAUGACAAGCAUGCUGGUCAACCAUUCCCACGAAUCAUGUACACCCUAUGCAGCGCCGCGUGCUGCGCCCUGUGAGGGGCUCGGUCAGUCGCGUCGGACACCGGACUGGGACAGAGGUAGAGUGAGUGUUAAAUAAACGGGAAAAUAAGUGUGUUCUCACUUCUAGCGGGGAGGGGACCCCCUGCUCCCGGUGGUCUCCGGUCCCUUUAAGGGUCGCACUCAGCGCGGCAGGCUCGGCGCGACCCUCCAAGCGCGGCGGGGGCGGGGCUGCGGCGCGCCCCGCGGGGAAUAAUUUAAAGGCGCCGCGCCUGAGGCGCUGAGCGGACGCCCGCGGAGUUGGUGCGGAGUGGGCCCCGGCGGCGGCGGGCUCCCGCCCUUUGUGAAUGCCGUUACUGUACCAGGAAUCGUAUAGACCAAGUCUUCAACCAUUGCUGAAGCUGCUGUCUCAUUUUACUGGGACUCUCUCCAGAACUCUAAUCCUCCAUCACUGAAGAGCUGGCAGGGCCUAACCUUCUCCCACCCAUGUGAGAUUAAGUUUGGUUGCCUGUCAUGAAAAAUGCAGAACAAUACUCAAGAUGGAAAUGGAUUUCUCUAUCACAUAAAUAGACAUUGUAAACUGGUCAUCUGGGGCAUGCAUGGGGACAGAGCUGAAAGAUACAGACGCUCCUUCAGCUCACUGGUCCAGCAUCCAUGAACUGACUCCAUGAUUAUGAUGAUCCUAAAUUAAAUUAAAAAGUUAAAACAAUACCAUGUGAUCACCAGGAUUAUGAUACACA